GGAGCUUGCUCCCUGAAGUCAGCGGCGGACGGGUGAGUAACACGUGGGCAACCUGCCUGUAAGACUGGGAUAACUUCGGGAAACCGGAGCUAAUACCGGAUACGUUCUUCUCUCGCAUGAGGGAAGAUGGAAAGAUGGUUUCGGCUAUCACUUACAGAUGGGCCCGCGGCGCAUUAGCUAGUUGGUGGGGUAAUGGCCCACCAAGGCGACGAUGCGUAGCCGACCUGAGAGGGUGAUCGGCCACACUGGGACUGAGACACGGCCCAGACUGCUACGGGAGGCAGCAGUAGGGAAUCUUCCGCAUUGGACGAAAGUCUGACGGAGCAACGCCGCGUGAACGAUGAAGGCCUUAGGGUCGUAAAGUUCUGUUGUUAGGGAAGAACAAGUACCAGAGUAACUGCUGGUACCUUGACGGUACCUAACCAGAAAGCCACGGCUAACUACGUGCCAGCAGCCGCGGUAAUACGUAGGUGGCAAGCGUUGUCCGGAAUUAUUGGGCGUAAAGCGCGCGCAGGUGGUUCUUUAAGUCUGAUGUGAAAGCCCACGGCUCAACCGUGGAGGGUCAUUGGAAACUGGGGAACUUGAGUGCAGAAGAGGAAAGUGGAAUUCCACGUGUAGCGGUGAAAUGCGUAGAGAUGUAGAGGAACACCAGUGGCGAAGGCGACUUUCUGGUCUGUAACUGACACUGAGGCGCGAAAGCGUGGGGAGCGAACAGGAUUAGAUACCCUGGUAGUACACGCCGUAAACGAUGAGUGCUAAGUGUUAGAGGGUCUCCGCCCUUAAGUGCUGCAGCUAACGCAUUAAGCACUCCGCCUGGGGAGUACGGCCGCAAGGCUGAAACUCAAAGGAAUUGACGGGGGCCCGCACAAGCGGUGGAGCAUGUGGUUUAAUUCGAAGCAGCGCGAAGA
rnacentral:rRNA from 1 species